GGCUACAAAGCAGAAUGCAUGCACACAACUGGUGGGACUAAAGGAGCAGCGCCAAGGAAGCAUUUAUCUUCAUGUUAUCUCCUAAUUUAAGAUCCAUUCUGGCAAAACUUCACUUCUUCUGCUUAAGCUGCAAUGUCAAGCUGCAAAUAUUCAGCAGCUGAGGAGCCGAGCUGACAAAUUUUGGUCUGAAACAUCCGCAGACAUGACAGCAGUAGCCUCUUACUGAAGCUAUUUGGAGCCGGCCACAGAUCUGGGCACUCAAGGCUCUGCCAAAGUCUCACUCAGCGGACACUGAGCACAUAUGCCACUGGUACACCCUGGGGACAUGUCACCUUGACUCACCCUGUGCUGUCACUAUGCUGGUUCUGCAGCCUCUAGCUACACAUGCCAGUGCCCUAGAGCUGUGGCAGGAGGUUGCAGUGGUAAGGCAAAGGUGAAAAACAUCUCCUGAAAGUGAAAAUCGAUUUUGCUAAUGCUAUCCUGGCCAGAACUCUCAGCCCACUUCUCCACAUUAAAGAAGGAUUUUAUGGAAGAUUGGGAUGGCAGUAGGGGAUGACCACAUUCCAUCGUCUUGAUCCAGGAAGACUUUGUCUGCUCACAAGCUCAGGUAAUGCAAAAGAACAGUGAGUGACUUACUUAGGCUCUUUGCUGUGCAAGGCAAGAAGUUCUGCCACGUUUUCACUCUGAAGUUUUCACAGCUUCAGCAUUAAAAUGCCUCACAUGAAAGGAUGUUCAUCUUUUCUUUCUCCACAGCAUAAGCCACAGCUUGUGGAAGCCAAAGGCUUAAAGCGUGAUAUAGGACCAUACUGCUAUAUCUCUGUCAGCUGAGGUUUAGAAAAAACAAAUGCACAAAACCCAAAACCUCCCCCUAAACCCAUAAAUACUGCAGUCUGCAAAGCAAGGGUUGAAGUGUGAACUGCACUGUUCUCAUGGUGGGGAGGAGAGGAAACAACUUAUACCAUUGUAGUUACUGCUGUUAAUGCCAAGAUUCAAAGAAGAAAGAAGAUGAUUAGGGUAUGUUAGUCAGGCUCAAAGACCUGCUUCUGUCUCUUUCUGCUACUGGCACUUGUAUUUCAUAGUAUAUUGUGUGUCCAUGUCACUGAGAACUUGUCCCCGAGAGACAAGUUCUCUCAGGGACAAGACUGAUAGUAGACAUAAUAUUGUCUGUUCUCCUACAGUCUGUGUUAAAUCAAUAUUGCCCAGAGAAGUUGUGGAUGUCCCAUUCUGGAGAUGUUCAAGGCCGGGUUUGAUGGAGCUUUGGGCAGCCUACUGUAGUGGGAAAUGUCCCUGCUCAUGGCAGGCAGUUGAAACUGGGUGACCUUUAAGUCCUCUUCAAACCAUUCUAUGGUUGUAUGAUAUCCAAGCUUUAGUCAUUGGCCUAAACCAUCCUAGGCACUUGAAGGCAGGCCUUCAUUUAACUUUUCAGUUCCUAUGCUUAUGUUUCAUAGCAUUGUGGAUUUGGAAUAGCUUUACCCUAUGCAAACACAUAAAUCUUGCACGUUGCUAGUCAUUGGAUUAGAGUUUAGUUUUCCAUUUUUUUUUUUUUUUGUUAGUAGCUACUCUUAAGUAGAGCAUCAGUGUAUUGCCAUGUAAAUCAAUGGACACAUUCUUCAGUCUCAGCAGAAAAUAAACUUAUAUACAAA